UACGGAGGAUGCGAGCGUUAUCCGGAUUUAUUGGGUUUAAAGGGUGCGUAGGCGGACGCUUAAGUCAGCGGUAAAAUUGCGGGGCUCAACCUCGUCGAGCCGUUGAAACUGGGUGCCUUGAGUGGGCGAGAAGUACGCGGAAUGCGUGGUUUAGCGGUGAAAUGCAUAGAUAUCACGCAGAACUCCGAUUGCGAAGGCAGCGUACCGGCGCCCAACUGACGCUGAAGCACGAAGGCGUGGGUAUCGAACAGG
rnacentral:rRNA from 1 species